UUUUGCGCAAUGGGGGAAACCCUGACGCAGCAACGCCGCGUGAAGGAAGAAGGCUUUCGGCCCCUACCCUUCUUUUAGCAGGAAAGAAAAAAAUGACGGUACCUGCAGAAAAAGCACCGGCUAACUCUGUGCCAGCAGCCGCGGUAAUACAGAGGGUGCGAGCGUUAUUCGGAGUUACUGGGCGUAAAGAGCGCGUAGGCGGUUCGAUAAGUCCGAUGUGAAAGCCCUGGACUCAAUCCAGGAAGUGCAUCGGAUACUGUCAAACUAGAGUACAGGAGGGGAGAGUGGAAUUCCUGGUGUAGAGGUGAAAUUCGUAGAUAUCAGGAGGAACAACAGUGGCGAAGGCGACUCUCGGACUGUUACGACGCUAGGCGCGAAA
rnacentral:rRNA from 1 species